rnacentral:rRNA from 1 species
GAUGAACGCUGGCGGCGUGCUUAACACAUGCGAGUCGAGCGAGAUUAUUCUUCGGAAUAGUCUAGCGGCGGACGGGUGAGUAACACGUGGGCAACCUGCCUUGUAGAGGGGGAUAGCCUUCCGAAAGGAAGAUUAAUACCGCAUAACGUUGUUGAAAGGCAUCUUUCGAUAAUCAAAGGAGUAAUCCGCUACAAGAUGGGCCCGCGGCGCAUUAGCUAGUUGGUGAGGUAACCGCUCACCAAGGCGACGAUGCGUAGCCGACCUGAGAGGGUGAUCGGCCACAUUGGGACUGAGACACGGCCCAGACUCCUACGGGAGGCAGCAGUGGGGAAUAUUGCACAAUGGGGGAAACCCUGAUGCAGCAACGCCGCGUGAGUGAUGACGGCCUUCGGGUUGUAAAGCUCUGUCUUUGGGGACGAUAAUGACGGUACCCAAGGAGGAAGUCACGGCUAACUACGUGCCAGCCGCCGCCGUAA